rnacentral:lncRNA from 1 species
GGCAUCAGUUACCCCUUCCCCCAGGAACAGGAAGGCCGCUGUCCCUUCCUCCCGGCACUCAGCUGUCUGCCCCAACAUCAAUCCCUCACAUCCCACGCACCCAGCUCUUGGCAGUUUACUAAGACCUUCUGCACCCCCAUUACCUCAUGUGAUCCCCACAACACCUAUGAGAGAGGAAGAUGAAUCGUCCGAUCCAAGUGAAGCCGGCUGCCAGUGAGGGCCGAGGAGAGGACCGGAAGCUGUUUGUGGGAAUGUUGGGCAAGCAGCAGGGUGAGGAGGAUGUCAGACGUCUGUUCCAGCCCUUCGGCCAUAUCGAGGAGUGCACUGUCCUGCGGAGUCCCGAUGGUACCAGUAAAGGCUGUG